rnacentral:rRNA from 1 species
AGAGUUUGAUCAUGGCUCAGGAUGAACGCUAGCGGCAGGCUUAAUACAUGCAAGUCGAGGGGCAGCAGGGGUGUAGCAAUACACUCGCUGGCGACCGGCAAACGGGUGCGGAACACGUACGCAAUCUACCCAAAACUGAUGAAUAGCCCUCCGAAAGGAGGAUUAAUACAUCGUAACAUCUUAGAGUGGCAUCACUUUAUGAUUAUAGCUCCGGCGGUUUUGGAUGAGCGUGCGGCUGAUUAGGUAGUUGGUAUGGGUAACGGCCUACCAAGCCUGCGAUCAGUAACUGGUGUGAGAGCACGACCAGUCACACGGGCACUGAGACACGGGCCCGACUCCUACGGGAGGCAGCAGUAAGGAAUAUUGGUCAAUGGACGCAAGUCUGAACCAGCCAUGCCGCGUGAAGGAUGAAGGUCCUCUGGAUUGUAAACUUCUUUUAUAGGGGAAGAAACCCGGAAAUUCUUUUCCGGUUGACGGUACCCUGGGAAUAAGCACCGGCUAACUCCGUGCCAGCAGCCGCGGUAAUACGGAGGGUGCAAGCGUUAUCCGGAUUCACUGGGUUUAAAGGGUGCGUAGGUGGAUUUGUAAGUCCGUGGUGAAAUCUCCAAGCUUAACUUGGAAACUGCCGUGGAUACUAUAAAUCUUGAAUGCUGUGGAGGUGAGCGGAAUAUGUCAUGUAGCGGUGAAAUGCUUAGAUAUGACAUAGAACACCAAUUGCGAAGGCAGCUCACUACCCAGAUAUUGACACUGAGGCACGAAAGCGUGGGGAUCAAACAGGAUUAGAUACCCUAGUAGUCC